rnacentral:lncRNA from 1 species
AGCAAAUUAAACAAUGACCAAAACUUUGCUCAUUUCCUCCAUCGUUAUUUCAGAUUUCCAUGUCUUCAUUUUGACUUAGCAAUACGGAGGCAGUAUGUCUCUGCUGUCAAUACAGAGUGAGGGGUGGGGACAGCUCAAGGGCUGCAGGUCCUACAGGUUCUGCAUUUUUCAUGAGAGCAUUCAGGCAGCACUGCUCCAUGCAUCGUCCCAGCCACAAAUGCACAAAGAAAAAAUAAUGCUUUUGCCGCAUUGCCAAAUGGCCACCAGAGGAUUUGAUUUGUCAAUAAGCUGCACGAAUACCCAGGCCACCUCCAUCUGCUGCUGUGACAGAACACAAUUAACAGGAAAAUCCCAGGGAGUGAUGGAUGCAAGUUUGUUCUUAAAUAAUGAAAAAAAAAUUCUUUGGAAGGAAUUUGCGUUUUCUAGCCUGUUCUCCCCGCACAACAAAUACAAGAAAGCUGAGAGUACAAUUGGUACAACAUCGUUUGAGCAGAAGUCUGCAAUACCUUGGCAGUUGGAAUUCCACCAGAUAAGCAAUAUUUGA